rnacentral:lncRNA from 1 species
AUAUACAUGCAGUAUGACGUUUCGUUCACCGACGGUCGACAACCUCGACUAAUAAAAGAGGCCUCAUUUCAGAAUUUAUACAUGGCCUCAAAUUUUACCGGCACGGCCCUGCCGGUGCCUCGGAGCUUUGGAUUGGCUGGGCGCGCGACCAGUCUCUGCCAUCAGGCCGCGAGGCAGCAACAACCUCCUUCGCUGGCCGAUGACCGUCUUCGCCGCGGAUCCAGCUUCCCACGUGGUCGGCUUGCUUCCCGUCGUCACCAUUGGUGAGUUCCCUGUCCAAUUAAUCACCAGCAUCACCGCGACGGGUAGUGUCAUUAGUUUGAAAGUUUAGAACCCUUGUGCUGGGAAUGGGUUGCCCGGCGGUGGCACCGUUGCGCCGGUCGUGUGCGCGCUGCGGCCUGGUGGCAGAGAGGAAGAAGAGAGCACGUUUGCCGUUAGAUCCGAUAUGAGCGGCUAGAAUGAGAUCUGAGGUGAAACUAUCGUGUACCGUCCAAUCAAUCGUCAACAGACGAGAUUGUGUCGCUGCAUACCCUAUCGCCCCAUCUAGAUCUGGCCAUAGAUCAAGGGAUCGACGGUCAUGUGGGAUCGGUUGGGUGCGCACCGUUUGAUGAUGAUCUGAUGGUCACAGGCGUGUACCAUUUUAGAUGGGUUCUGAUUUAAUGGGGGACUCACGAUUCUGAUCCUACGGCUCAUGUGUGUGGAUACCCCUUCGGCCAUUCAACUUUGCAAAACAAACCCUACCCUUUAUUAUGAAUAACCCGCCGUCCGACAGGGGCGUUCUGUGUCUUGGGAAGAUUUACACCGAGACCCCUGUUCUAAUAAUAAUGCGCCCAGUCCAGAGAACAUAUAAAUUAGAUAAAUGAUUAUGGAAAUGAAUUUUUAAUGUAAAAAUAAUCAUUUGAACUUGUUUAAUCCCUAGAAAAACCAUCUCAAGUCCAAAUUGAUCCAUUCCAAUUUCUAUAAUUUUGUAAUAUUAUUGUUAUCAUUUAGUGCCACUGGUUUGACAUGAAAACCAUAUUAAAAUUUUAUCUCUUAAUUAAUCUCGUAUCAAAUACAUAAAACCUUCGGAAAUUUAUAACUCCUCCGUUUUAAUUUCGUUUUGGCUCGUUCCAGUUGCGUUAGCUUCAUAUGAAUAUUUACUAUGCAAUAACAACAUUUAUUGUACCAUGUCUCAUUCUUUUAUUAGAUCUUUAUUUAACUUAUGUUGGUUAGUCUUGUUAAUCUACUUAUCAUCAUAAUCUACUAGAAUAAGAUCUAUGGUCAAUUUAUAACUUAGAGUUGAAAUAAUUAUUUAUAGAAUAACAUCUCAUAUGAAUUAUACUAACCAAUUUAUAAUAUAGUUUAAUAUUUUAAUCACAUAGAUCUUCUAUAAAAUUAUAACUCCUUAAUCGUAACUCCGAUCUUAGUAAUUCUCGAAACCACGAUCUUGUAGCAACACGUAGAUCAUUAUUAUGCAGUUUAUUCUUAUGUUUGGUGUGAUGUUAAUUUUGUUUAUACCAUGUUUGUUUGUAUUACUACGACUAGCGUGAGGUCACGAGUCAUCUGAAGAUCAUCCUGGUACCUGAAAUCUCAAGUCCCAGG